rnacentral:rRNA from 1 species
UACAGAGGUCUCAAGCGUUGUUCGGAUUCAUUGGGCGUAAAGGGUGCGUAGGUGGCGCGCUAAGUCAGGUGUGAAAUUUCGGAGCUUAACUCCGAAACUGCAUUUGAUACUGGCGUGCUUGAGGACUGGAGAGGAGACUGGAAUUCAUGGUGUAGCGGUGAAAUGCGUAGAGAUCAUGAGGAAGACCAGUGGCGAAGGCGGGUCUCUGGACAGUUCCUGACACUGAGGCACGAAGGCCAGGGGAGCAAACGGG